GCAACCCUUAUCCUUUGUUGCCAGCGGUCCGGCCGGGAACUCAAAGGAGACUGCCAGUGAUAAACUGGAGGAAGGUGGGGAUGACGUCAAGUCAUCAUGGCCCUUACGACCAGGGCUACACACGUGCUACAAUGGCGCAUACAAAGAGAAGCGACCUCGCGAGAGCAAGCGGACCUCAUAAAGUGCGUCGUAGUCCGGAUUGGAGUCUGCAACUCGACUCCAUGAAGUCGGAAUCGCUAGUAAUCGUGGAUCAGAAUGCCACGGUGAAUACGUUCCCGGGCCUUGUACACACCGCCCGUCACACCAUGGGAGUGGGUUGCAAAAGAAGUAGGUAGCUUAACCUUCGGGAGGGCGCUUACCACUUUGUGAUUCAUGACUGGGGUGAAGUCGUAACAAGGUAACCGUAGGGGAACCUGCGGUUGGAUCAC
rnacentral:rRNA from 1 species